UACAGAGGUGGCAAGCGUUGCUCGGAAUCACUGGGCUUAAAGGGCGUGCAGGCGGCCAAGUAAGCGUUUUGUGAAAUCCCCCGGCUCAACCGGGGAAUUGCUUGACGAACUGCUUGGCUCGAGGGAGGCAGGGGCGACUGGAACUCUGGGUGGAGCGGUGAAAUGCGUAGAUAUCCAGGGGAACGCCGGUGGAGAAAUCGGGUCGCUGGGCCUUACCUGACGCUGAGGUUCGAAAGCUCGGGGAGCAAACAGG
rnacentral:rRNA from 1 species